AUAUAUAUAUAUGUGUAUGUAUAUAUAUAUGUAUAUCACACGGACGACUCAUUGCAAUGUGAACAUUAAUUUAGUCUUGUUUGGAAUGUUAGUGUCCAACAAAUUAUGCGAUUAAAUUAUUUUAAUAUUAUAUACAACUCUAAAUUUUCUUUUCCGUCCACCAUCCAUUCCAUUUGCUUAUAUAUCUUUAUGAUUAAUAAAGAUAGCAUUUAUUUAUGUACGAUUAUAUGAAGAACGAUUAGUGAAAGAGGCUGGACAUAAUAGAUAUUAUAUAUAACAUCAUUUUAUUAAUUUUAAAUUAAAAUCGGUUAUAAAUUAUGGUGAUGAGUUCGAAUACUAGGACUAGGACAAAUGGUUCUCGCAGCUUUGUUCUGUAUAUAUAUAUAUACUCAUUUUUAUAUUGCAUAUAUGUAGUUGUUGAAGGAUGAGCGUUUAUCGUCUUAGAUAUCACACAAACAUGCACUCGCUCUCUCAAUACGUACUCACUUUCUCUCUCUCUCUCUCUCUCUCUCUCUCUCUCUCUCUCUCUCUCUCUCUCUCUCUCUUUCUUUCAAUUCAAUGAAAUAACAAAAAAAUGCUUUCACCAAUAAGCGUCUAUUAUAGAGGGUGACUCAUAUCGUCUACGAUUCAUAGAUAUAUUCAAUUUCUCCCUUUCUUGAAACCUUUUUUAAAGGCCGGAAAACGAAUCGAAUCGAUCGUACUUCUCUAUCGAACGUGACACGCAAUAUGUCUCAAGUUUUUCGACCACGACGACAAAGCGCGUUGAAAAGAAAAUUUCCUUUUUUUUUUUUUCAUCUUUUUUCUUUUUUCUUUUUUUUUUUUUCUUUUUUUUUUCAAAGACGGCUCCAGUGCGUAAAGACGAUGUAACGUGCGUUACUUUAUUCGCGAAUUACAACAUCCGAGACGCGACGAAGCAUAGGUAAUAAUGGAAAGGAAUAGCAAAUCUUACGUCGUCGCAUUUUCAAAGUUGCCAGCAACUUUUCUUUUCGAAAAAAAACUCGACACUGGAGCUGCAUCUUUCCGAAAAAUCUAUCUUUUUUCUCUCUCUCUCUCUCUCUCUCUCUCUCUCUGUGAGUUUUUCUACGUCUCCGACUCGAGCGCGUCUCGCUCGAAUUCCAUUUCAGAUGAAUCAUAAAUUCGAAAAGAGAUUUGUCUCUUUUUCUUCGCCUAUUGGAACUCGCCGAGACUCGUGCGGCUUUAUAAAAACGUUAUCAAGAUAAUGGCAGUGCGGUAUAGCGGAGAAGAUCUCUCAGAGAUCGAUCGAUCGCACGACGGUGCCUCCUCUCAGCGAGAUCAAAGAGAUCGAUCUGGAUCAGGCUUGAGGUAUCGGCAUACACAACUAGCAUUUCUCUUUUCUCCCUGUUAUUUCAUUUCGUUAGUUCAAUGUAAUUCUUUAGAUAUAUUAUCUUUUAUCAUCGAUCAUAUUUUUAUUAUAUGGAUAAUGUAUUUAUUUAGAUGCCCGUUCCAUCACGACUCAAUACGAUUUAUAUUCGCAAAGAUCGCCUUUAGCACUGUCGUGUCCUUUCUUCUAAUCCUUUUUUCUCUAUUUCCUCUCUCUUAUUCCUUGGCAAUCUUUAUAUUCGUGAACAUGGAGAUUCCGGUAAAACGGCUUUAACGCAGAAGCUGUUGCUAUUAUAAAUAUGUCUUUAUAUGUACACGUACACACAUACGCACGUACUAUUGGCGAUUAGGCGAGAUUAGUUUGUCUCCUUCAUUCUUUUCUGUCUUUGGACGAUGCCAAAUAAUCGCUCGAAUCGAAGCAAUUCGUAAAGAUCAAACAAUUUGUUAAUAUAUAUAUCAACAAUUAUUAUCAAGAAACGAUCUUUUUAUGAUUAAUUUUAAAACGAUCUAUCACGAAACAAUGCUUCGAACGAAUAUGGAUGUAUAGCCGCGGUCGUAGAUCUAUAGAGAUAUAUAUGUAUAUAUAUAUGCAUAUAUAAUAUAUAUCACAUUGCCAUUAACAAAUUACACAGCACAGCCAGUGACUCCAAUUUUAUUAUAUAUACAUUCUCCGCUCUGGUUUCUUUUAUUUUAGCUUCAACGCAUCGCCGAUACGUCGUCAUCAUCAUCAUCCUCCUCCCACCCUUUUCCAUCUUUCUUUAUUUAUUUAUUUAUUUAUUUUUUUUUUCUUCAAGCUUUAACACCUUCGAGGAAGAAUUACGUUAUAUAUAUAUAUAUAUCUUUUUCUUCGAUCAACAGGUUUCCGUUCUUAACGAUAACACGUCGAUUCGUUUAUCAGUACCUUCGUCGAACGAGGAUCGGUCUUUAUCGAUACGAUCCUCGAUCGAUCGAACGGAGCAAAUUUCUAAUAAUAAUUAUUACAUUCCCGCAAUUUUUUUCUAUCAAAGCAUUUCGGAUCUUACGGUUGGUUUAUAAAACCGACUAACCACUAUAUUUCUUUUCUCAUCUCCGUUCGAAUGUUGUCGUUACGCGGACGCGUGAUCGCACACAUACAUGUACACAAGUUUAUGGGAGCAAAGGGAGUGAGGUAGGAGCGAGAAAGAUAGAGUUUGAAAAUUUAUCGGAAGGAUUUUUCCAUUACAAUAAUUUCUUUAUCAUCAUUUAUGAUCCAGGGUGGGGCAAAAAUUUCAUAUGCGAUAAAAUUAUAUGCGCCACUCUGUGUCAGAGGACAAUUGGGGAUAAAAAUGGGAAGGAAUGGAGCUCGAAUAGAUUCAAACGAGGAAAAGGAAAUGCGUGAGAUUAUUCUUUCGAAGGAUAACAAAAUUGGAAUUAUCAUCGAUUACCCUUUCUUUUGCCUAUCGAGACAAAGAAAAGUAAUCGGAAUGAAACAUAGCAGUACUGCGAAACCGUAUAUCCACUACUUGGAUAACAGGAAUAAUACUAUCAGUUAAUUAUAAUAUCAAUUAUAAUAACAGGGUCCGCCUUUGUUAGUGCUCUAAAGGUAUCAUUAUGUACAAAUAGAUGCGUGUAUGUAUAAUGUAUAUACAAAAUUACGUGCGAUGGGGUAUCGACGGAGUGGUGGUGGUGAUGGUGAUGGUAGUGGUGGUGGUAGUGGUGGUGGUGGUGGUGGUGGUUGUGAUGCUGCUGGUGCUGAUGCUGCUGCUGUUGUACCAUUAUGGGUAGAUAUCCGAUUCGAGUUUUUUGUUCCUCUUUCUUUUCAGGAUCGUGGACAAGAUUAUGAAAUUCAUUAUAUACGCAUUAUAGCGUAUAUAGGAUCAUACUAUGUGUAUAUGUAUGCAUGUUAAUGAUAUCGUAUUCGGUGCGCAAUAAUGUCGUACAUAUGUAUAUCGAUUUGUUGAUAACGAGAAUGUAUUACGUACGAAUAAAGAAUGCUUCUUUUUUUCUUUUUUUUUUUUUUUUUAUGUACUUGUACACGUA